UGAAAAUAUUUAUUCUCUCGCUUUUACAGAAAAGGCUGGCCAGCCUCUGGUCCAGUACCAGGCAAGUGAUUGGAGUCCCUUUCCAGUUUGGAAACAUCUGGGCAGGCCCAGAUUGAACAGGGUCCAGGGGGAAGGACCAAGCCUGUCCCAUCGGCCAUCCUAUGUGUCAUGUCCUGGGACCCAGUGGAUGCUCAGCACCUGAAGAAGAUUGUCUUAGACACAUGGAAGCUGAGGACGCCUACUGUCCCCUCGGAACCCAGGUGGGGCUGGGAGUCUGCUGUUUGUAUAGCCGGUGGGCUCGUGUUGCUUUGGGCAUCCCUGUGUCUGAAUUCCUGCAGUACACUCGGUGGUUUUACCUGAACCACCAGCUUCUGCAUCUCUGAAGACAGAUGAUGAGGACCCUUCACGUAAACCGUUCGCACAGCCCUGUGCAGGCCUUUGUGCUGCACGGUCUGCCCGGCGAGAUAACUGAGUGCAUUCCAUGGUGCAUCCUCGCCUAGAAUUGAGUGGAAGCAAGUCCAUCUCAGAAGGGACAUAACUGAAGGGGGAUGGCUUCCCAGACUCUGAUGGGCAGAGAGAGCAGCAGCCUGGCCCUGUGUAAAACAUGAAGCGUGGACGGCCUGGUGAGCACAGCUCUGCCCUCAAGACCUGUUCCAACUCCUCUCUUCCCGGAAAACAGCAUCUCUGAGCCCGCCCUUGGUGACCUCAGAGAGAUCACCCUAGUGGCCCAGACUAGUGACCGGGAACAUGUACCUUCCUGCAGCCAACCCCAGACGUCCACUGAUGCAUCAUAUACUGGCAAAGAUCCUGGCCUAGGGGGGCCUUGGCCCCUGGAGAUUCGCCAGAUGUUGGACUCCAGGUAAGCUUGCUCCUGGGAGGUGGGGCGGUUAGGUCAGGCGGCAGCGGCAGCGACA